rnacentral:lncRNA from 1 species
UGAGUUGUGUGUGAAGAUGCAGCUGGCUGAUGGGAUCUUUGAGACCUUGAUCAAAGAUACUAUUGAUGUUCUCAAUCAGAUCAGUGAAAAGCAGGGGAGAAUGCUACUUGUGUGACAUCUUGCAAAUAAAUCGAACACUGAGUGCUAACAUGAGUCCUGGGCCUUUCUGCCUUCUGAUAUACACCCCAUCUCCACCAUAGCAAGAAUGCUUCUGGACCUUGAACCUGUUCUUAUGGACUGCUGGUUUGGAGUUCAUGGGACAAUGUGGUAUAUCUGGUAUUACAGCCUUUGCCUUUACAGACUGUCCACUGGAUUACGUGGUUUUUUCCCGUGGGCAGGGCUAUACUCUGAUGCUGAGACUUGGUAUCACCUCAUUAGCACCCAUACCUACUAGGUCUCAGAUGAGGGCUGAGAACACCAGACUGACCUCUGAGCUUAGACAAAGCUUGAGUGUCCUCAUGAGACUUGCGUCUCCGCAGGAAAGAGAGGUACAUAGAUUCUUCUUUUAACUUUCAAAACAUAAUCCUGGUCUAUACAAUGAAACUCACAAAUGGACAUGCUAGUCUCUGAACAGUAUUAAACCCAUAACCACUUUAAAAUAGGCAAACGCAAGAUUGUCUGCCUAUUUUACAUUCUGGAGUUUAUUUCUUCUUGAAGACCAUUUUCUUCCAUUCUUGAAGUUAAGCAGCACCAAGUGGAUGUCAGAAAUAAGUGGGAGCUUUGCUUUGGGCACCACCUAAAAACUAUAACCCAUUGCACUGUGUUUAAUUUUCCUGUCUGGGCAGAACCCAGUGAAGACGAGGCUCCAGGACUGCUGCGGGCUGUUCCUCCGCCCUGGUCCCACCCCUGCUCUCUCCUCAUCUGUCCUAACCUCUACCAGCUGCUCUCAGAAUCGUAGAUACUCAGGACCAUCUCAGGCAUCCAGGCAUGGCAAAAGUGGAAAGACCUCAUUUUGGCCUUCAAACGUUGACUUCCCAUCUCUCCCGCAGAAGUCAGUGCUGUUACUUGAAUGAGUUAGAAAAUGAGUGGCGCACCAAAGACAAGAAGAUCCUGUCCAGAGUCUGCCUGCUUGUUUGGCUCUGUGGAAUAUUUUUAAUUUAUUUUAAGGUAAAUUAUUAAGUUGAAAAUGUGUGUCCCUAUUGAGAAGUGAAAGAUUCUCAUCAUUGUAAACCUCCGUCUCGAAGCUUCUACAGUUUAAUCUUCGCACAGGAAAGCUGCAGUUUUAAUAAAUCUAUACACACACUGAAGAAGUCAGUUCAGUUCAUCAAAAAGACAACAGACGUUUACACCGUCACCCGGGCAGCAGGACAGGACAGGACUCGAAAGACUAAAGUUUAUCCUGCCUUUCUUGCAGCAUUGCAUCUUACAACCAUUACCUGCAUCUGAGGAACAUCUCCAGACUCCAGCUGCUACCUUUGAGCACCUGGUGCUCUCCUGGGCCCUUAGCACCUGCCUUCUUGACUGGUUUCUCUUCAUCAGUCCUGUCCUUCCUAAUCCCAGGGAAUGAGGAUGAUCUGAGGCGUGUGUGUAAAUGCCUUAACCCUAACAGUCGCGGCUAGAACAGCAUGGUAAGACAUCCGCUGGGGUCACACUUACAGACACCCUGGACAUUAUGGCUUCAAAACACAUUAGAAAACCCAAAGACAGCGUAACCCUUAAGUAUGCACGUUUGUUCUUUUCUGCAUCUUCCUUCCCUACUUGCCAUUGCAUCUCUGAUGUCUCACUCUGCACACGUCACUCCUCUUGCGUUUCAUCCUGUCAUUACACAACAUUUGCUGAAACCAUCAUUGGAUAUUUGCAUUUUGCACAGUGACUGGUGUGCUAGCUCUUGACAAUAAGAAAGCACUGAACUGUUCCAAUUGGGUCUCCUGAAUGCUCAGGUGGGUGUCUCAUCAGCAUCUCUUCUGUGCUUUUGCUGUUGAGCUGUCGUCUUUAGCCAUAAUGAGCAGGUUGACGAAGAGAAGAAAGGUUUCUCGAGGUUCUUAGUAGUGUGGAAAUAGUUUUCAUGUGGCCAAUGAAAGCAAAGAUAGUUCUCCUCAGUUUGUGUUCCUUAGGAGACAGGAGACAUCUGUGUCCAUCCCUUGACUGUUUGUAGGAUCAUAUUGUCUUUAUGAAACUGAACUUUACAGCUGCUAUAAGUUUUUUUAUAAAUGAAAAUCAAAUUAUAAUAGGAAUAUAGGUUGUUUUCCAUGUCUUCAUUAUUUGGACCUGAGGUUAAUUUUUUAAUAAGACAGUGUAUCUUUUACUCUCUACAUUAUCAUGCCAGAAAAGGAAAAACUUACUGCUGUAAGUCCAUAGGCUCAGCGACCUGGACAGUGCCGAGAUCGUGGCAGUGGCCGUCCUAACCUCCGCUAGCUGUCUUCACUAUCCAAGAACCCUGCAUUCCAGAUGCGAGGCGGGAGUAAGCCAGUCUCCUCCUUUGCUAGCAAUUACAGCUCCAGUUUGGUAGCAAAAACAAGUGAGUCUAUAGAGUUAACAGGUUUCUUCCUAUUUUAACUAUUUGGAUCUAACUGGGUGGGUUUACUGUUAGGGUCAGGAAUGAUGGAUGUGGCUGCCCAGCCACUCACUCGGUCCACACUGGGGUCUUUUUAAUGAAGCUCUGCCUCAUAACCAAGAACCUAAGAAUGCCCUCUUCCUAACUUUGCCCCUCCCCUACACCCGCGCCCUCCUGUCUGUCUGCAUUGAUUCCUCUAAACGAUCUUUGCAUCUGCAGUAAUACCUUUUAGUAUAGCACUGUCAGUACCUGGUAGUAAACCACCAUGGAGGCUUCAGAUUGACAUCUGAGUCCAAACAAUUUGUGCUAUCCAGGGCAGUUAACUCUGGGUUAAACUAGUACAGGGUAUCGAUUCCCUCUUCAGGUCUAAACAGGAAUUUUUACUCUAGGGAAAAGUGGAAAGAGCUCAAAAGUAGUUUAUAAGGAAGGUGACUUCCUUCUGUGACUACAGGUCUCUGAGAAAUUGUCUUUCAAAAGAGAUUGCAUUGCUCAUAAGAGUGUUGUGGCCUAUUGAUAAAAACAAUUUUGUUCACUUUCUUGUCUUGAAAAAAAAGUGGCCUUAGCUUUUUGCAAUACUUGAAUAAAGUGUGUACUUGCAAAAGAAUUUCUGUAGCACAGCAUUAGAGACUCAUAACUUUUCUGCAAGAAAUUCAAACUUACAUCUUCCUUUUACUACCUUAAGAAUACUAGUGAAUAAAACAUUAAUUCAAAGAGCAAGUGAUAGAAACUACAAUGCCGUUUAAUGCAAAUUGUAGGAAUUUACAUGUUUACAAAUCAUCUUAAACUGGUUGUGCAGCAAUUCAAUAAAAUCUUUGUAUUAUAAAAAUGUGAAGAAAGUGUAAACCGGUGUAAAGGAAGCACCGUUGUUGUAACUAAGCUGUGGAAAAGCUUUUCCUUCUGGACUUUGCAACGCCUUCUUGGUUACACAUUGCAAAGCAUUCUCUAGGGGGCUCAGCCUCCUCGUGUGUACUGUACUGUGCAGACAUGAAAAAUAAACCCGUUUACUGUGUGUGUGUAAAUAGCCUGAUCAUCAGGCCAUCUUCAGCCAAUAGUCACCCCCUGCAGCCCUUAGACGUCUGCACAGAAGCCCUAGGGUGUGGUUUGUAAGUACGCUCUGUAAAAUAACUGGGAUGAAGUCCCAUGUAUACCCAUGUACAUAGAUUUGUUAACUAAAAUGUACUUUAAGAUGAAAUCUGUAAAUAAAUUGAUUUAU